rnacentral:misc_RNA from 1 species
GCAAACUUGGUCAUUUAGAGGAAGUAAAAGUCGUAACAAGGUUUCCGUAGGUGAACCUGCGGAAGGAUCAUUACCGAGUUAGGGUCACCCCGUGCGCCCGACCUCCAACCCUUUGUCUACCUGACCUUUAUGUUGCUUCGGCAGGCCCGCCGCCCCUCCGGGGGUGGCCGCCGGGGGUAUCACGCCCCGGGCCCGCGCCUGUCGACGGCCCCAACCACAAACUCUUGUACCUAAACGUGUCGUCUGAGUUAACAAACAAAAUAAAACAAAACUUUCAACAACGGAUCUCUUGGUUCUGGCAUCGAUGAAGAACGCAGC